GUCAUAAUAUAUUUUAACGUUAUAUGUUUCCUGUUCUUCAUCUUUUUAAAUAUGAAGUCUAUCCAUGUUUGUGUUUACAGAGGUCAUGUACACUGUGGUCAACUUUGUGGGCGCUGAAGAGGUUUCUGGGUAAAGAUGAUAGAAAUAUAAUGAAGUAACAGUGAAAGCUAAAACAUCAGACUGAUCCAGACACUGAAGAAAUUGAUGUCACUGCAAUCUGGCCAAAAUGAUACAACUAUAUUGAAGUAGCCUACUGUAAUGAAGCUGCAGAACAACACAGAGACUCUGAGGACAUCAACACAGAAAAUGAAGGCUCCAAAGAGAUGUCUGUCCAGAUGAGGGUGCAUCAACUUUACCUUUGCUGACAACAGUUAACUUAACUCAAACCAUUUAAGGAAAUCGGUUGCCUUAAACCAUUAAGUUUUAAAAAACAUACAUUUGAGUACUGUGAACUUAAGUCUUGUGCAAUUAUGCACUUAUAUUUAGGUAGUGUGAACUUAAAUAUAAGUGCAUAACUGCAUGUGACUCAAUUUUUUUAAGUUCACAGUACUCAAAUCUAUGUGUUUUAAAACUUGAAUGGUUUAAUGCAACCGGUUUUCUUAAAUGUGAGAAAUGACAGUGUUACAGUGAGAAAUGUUUGAUUAAUUCCAAGACAGAGCUCUGCUAUUGAAUCUACACUGCAAAAAAUCACUUUCUAACUUAGGAUUUUUAUCUUGUUUUCAGUAGAAAAACUAAAA